rnacentral:lncRNA from 1 species
CCCGAUCCUGUGUGUGAUUGAGGAGUGUUGGAUGCUAGAAGGGUACAGCUGAUCACCUUUUCCAGCCCGUUUCUCCAGUGUCCACAGCAAGGGGACUUUCAGCUGCGUUCCAUGGACUUGGGGAUCCUGGCUUGUGGGCACCCCGGGCAGGGGAGGGGCCGGGAGCCUCCUCGUUAGCACCACGGACAGCUCGUGAGCCUGGAGGGGGAGGUGGGAGGAGAGCUCGCAGCGCCAGCGCGGGGAGGAGAGAGCGCAAGAGCGGACGGGCGGGGGAGGAAAAGGAGAGGUAAGGAAGGAGGACAGCGGCUCCCAGGCUAGAGGAAGGAAUCUGGAAGCAGUCGGAGCAGCAGGUCUGGGGAACUGUUCAUUUGCAGUGCCUCAGAGUUUGCAGACUCGCAGCUCGCCAGUCGCUCUGGGCGAGGGCUGCUGGCGGAGACCGGACGCCAGAGUUUAAAAUGCAAUGGCCAGAAGACAAGGAAGUAUCACUAGAAUUAUGUGGACAUGGACUCCGGGACUGCUGAUGAUGACUGUGAUCUUUUGGAGUCAGCAAGGGAAUGGACAAGGCCAAGAGUGCUCUGUUAAGCUUGGCUCCUGGUUGCAGGAGUAGCAAAUAAGUAAGUCUCUUUUUGUUUAUCAUUUCUUUUAAUUGAUCUGUGACACUUCAAUGAUGUGUAUACCUAUGCUCAUGAUUACCAAAUCCUUUCUUCAGUCCCAACUUGCUACAUGAUGUACACUAACCUAUUAGAUAAUUUAUCAGUAAUCCAGUCACCUUCUGUCAUUGCGUCCUACAUCGAACUCACUAUGUUUGUUCUACAAAACAUGCGUUUACUUGAGUGAUCAUUUUUUUUCAAACGGGUGACCUUGAUUAACAUGUCCUGUUCUUCCCAGUACUAUCCUACAAUAGUAGUAACCAAAUAACCAUAGAAUGAUGAAAAUUUCUGAAACUCAAGAUAAAACAUGGACCUAAUGUUGAUAAUGUUAAACAUUACCUUGAAUGGUUUGACUCUAUUAGAUAUUGAUUGAUAUAAUAUUAUUUCCCUUUUCAUAAUGCUAUCUAUUUCUAAUAUACACAUGUAUUGAAGAUGUGACUUUAGACAGUUCAGAAUUCCCAAGAUUGUAUUAAUGAUAAAAAUUCAAUUACCUGUUUUUUUUAGGGAUAAGUUUUCAAGUAUAAUUAAUGCUUUUCUGAUAUGUAGCCUUUCCAUUCUUGAAUUAUUUGGCUGAAGGAAUUUGCUUUAACUCAAAAACUGUAAAAGAGCAUCUAUAUUAUUCCGAACUCUAAGAAAAGCUAUCAUAAAAAUAUACCCAUUUUACAAAAAUUACAACUGAUUUCUGCAGGCCUUCAAUAUAUCAUUAUCUCUUUAAUUCAUAGGUGAAAAAUAAUACACAAAUGUGCCCAUUAUUACUUUCAUGUGGCCUGGGAAAGAGACCCAAUAUAUACAAUAGCAUCAUUUGUAUUUUCAUAUAAUUUAUGUUACUUCAGAUUGUGACAAAGAAAUCUGAAAGGGAAGGUGACAGAGCAGAGGCUGAUGUUUUUUAAUAUGUUCUCCAGAAAGCACUUUCUAAGGAGAGACUUUUUGCAGAUACCUGAGUAAAAUGAAGGAUCAAAAGAUCUCAGGGAUGUCCCAGGGCUCUCCAAUCACUUUCUAAGGAUAUCUGAGUAAGGGGUUUAUUGUAAAGAGCAGACAGCUGAGAACAGAGCCCAGGUAAUGCAACAUUUUUGAGCAGUAAUACAAAGAAAGCCCACCAACAUGAGUUUAGAUGGUUUCUAAAUUUCUAUGGAAAUAUAUUUUUGUGACACUCAAUUUUUCAUUUGGUCAGCAUUUUUCCCAGGGGUACAUUUAUACUUUUGUUGAUUGUAAUGAAAUCUACACACCUAUGCUCUGUUUUCUGUAAGAAUGUAUGCUGAUUUUGGUAAUGAGAGCAUCAAUUUAUAGCUAAGUCUGGCCCAAACGAAGGACACAAGCACAGAUGACAUAAAUAAACAAUGAGAACAGAAAACCUUGCAUCUUUUCAAAUCUCCAUUUCCCAGUCUUAAAACUUGUAGCAAACAAGAUCUCUCCGUUCUUUUAGAUAUCUUUGAUGUUACAAUACUUGUCAUAGAGUAGAUGUGUAAUGCUUAUCUAAUCAAUAAAUUAAGUCCAUGCUAGGAAGACAGUAUUGCACUGAGCCAGAAAAUGUUUAUGCCUCUCUGAUUGGUAGCUAUGUGAAAGUACUCUUGAUAUCCCUUUUCUAAUCAAUCGUAUUCAUGAAAUUAACAGCUAAUAAAACUCAUUCUUCUCUUAUUAAUCGGUUUCUGCUCCUGCAGAUGAAACUAAUGAUUUUCUUAGAAAAUUCUGAUGUAAGACUUUUGGAGAAAAAGCCAAAGAGAGUUAGAAUUUAUUUUAUUAGGCAAGUUAUGAGAUACCAUUUAAAUUUGAACUUCAGGUGAACUACAAAUAAUUUGAAAUGUACUUAUACUAAAAUGUUAUUUGAUGUGUAUAUGAACUUCAAAUUUAAGUAAGGACGUUCUACUUUUAUUUGCUAACUCUGACAAUUCUAUUUUAGAAAGAUUUUCUAUAGAUGAGAGUAAAAUGGUCUUUCUGGAAACGUCAAGCAAUCUACUUUUAUAAGUACGUCAAUUAAAGCCAAAGAGUUAGGAGAAUAGAUUUGUGGAGCUAAAUAUUUUAGACAGGUAGAGAAUUCAGGUGAAAUAUUUGAAGUAUUUUUCAAGACAAAGAAAAGGAAGGAAUGUCCAGUUUAGGCAAAUGAAAUGUUAUUUUUAGCUAUAUUUUAGAUAACAUACAAUAAAAUUUAAAAAUCAGUCAUUUCUCAGAUAUGAAGAGAGUCAAGCACAGCAUAGUAAGCCAUGUGUGAGAUAAAGCACAUUCAGCAGAAUUAAACUGCAUUCAAAUAUAUAUACUGAUAAAGUGAAUGUGUGGCAAGAUUAUACCACAGGAAACUAAAUUAGGUCCACCUCUCUGAAAAAUAGUAGGCUUAGAAAAUCUGUGGAAGACUGAGGACACUUAUAAUGAGAGAAGAUGUAGGUGAUUAAAGAGUUUUAUAAUGUUUUUAGCAACCAUAAAUGAGAGAAAAGUCUUUAAGCAUCUAAGUGAAGAAAAAAUUAACAGAAUUAUUCUCAACUAUGUGAUAAAGACAUUAAAAAGUACUAGGAUUGACAGAGCUUCAGAGUCAUAAGGGACUUGUUAGCAGAUUGUAAAGGAACUUGCUAAUGAAUAAAGAAAGCUUUUAAACAGACUCUGAAGAUCUCCAAAGAACUAGGACAUAUGUACUAUGGAAAUCUUCAGGAAAAUGUGAUAUAGUAAAAUUUAGGCAAAAGUGUUUAACCAUUAUAGGUUAUAAUAUUCCAAUGGUAUGAAUUUCAGACAGAAAUACUUAAAGUGUUGAAUUUUUCCCAUAUUUCCAAAUUUUAUUAGCCUGCAUUUGUGAUACAUAAUGAAUAGAUUCAAUGUAUAUUUAUAAUUUGAAUUUUUCAUGUAGGAGAAACCAUGCAAUAUCUAAUGUUCUCUAUCUGGUUUAUGUCACUUAGCAUUAUGUUCUCAAGGGAAAUCUUUGCUACCAGCGACUCCAAUUUAUUCUUCUUGGUGGCUGAGUAAUACUCUAUUAUAGAUAUACUGGAUUUUUUUAAGAAGACAAGAGAUGGAAGAAAAGGAGGAAGAGGAGGAGAAAGAUGAGGGUACCUGUUAAUCAAAUGUCACUAGUAAGUCAAAAGUACAGACUGUCUCUUCUUGUUGAUGUGCUUGUUUGUUUUGAGACAGUGACUGACUAUGUAGUACAGACUGUCCUGGUGAUGGUCCUUUCUCAGUAAAUUCUGGGAUUAUAGGCAUGCACCACUUCCAAAACAUCAUAUCGAUAAACUCAUCAAAUGAAAAAAACCCCCAAAACAUCAUAGAGAUAUAACAGCAGGGUGGGUGGGAUUAUUAUUUUUUAUUUGCAUUUUCAGGGGAAUAAAAAUAGUAUUUUUAUCAUAGGACAUAGUAGACAGUUUUUCUAAUAUCUUCUCUUGCCAAAGUUACUGCUUGGUCUGGCCUGAUUCGCUGUGACGUAAACACAUCACUGUCCAAGAUAUUUCUAUUGCUUUGCCUUUUGGUGUGGAUAUUGAGGCCACAGAGACACCUGCAGGUCUUUCUCCAUCAAACGCCUGCACUCUGCACUGUACAGGGCCUGAUAUCUUGGCUUUACCUCUGUGUCCCAUAUACUGUGACAUUUUUGUAUGAAUUCAGCCACCAGAUGUUUUCCACAUGGUGGGAUGUUGUGCCAUUUGGAAUCAUUCACUUAAUAGGUCAUAGUAAACAUGUUACUAUUUAUGAAUUUAUAUGUCUGUUGCUAUGUAACAAACCCAGUAUUUGGUACUCAGAAUCACAGCUAUUUUACUGCUCAUGAUUGCAUGGGGGCAGUAGUGUGGGCAGAACUUGGCAGAGAUGGCUCAUCUGUGCUUGCUACAGCAGAUCUCUCUAACCUCCUUUACACAAGUGGUAUUUGAGGAGCUAGCUGUUGCCUGGACGCCAUGACUGUAACCCAUGGGGACUCCUUAUCCAUCUCCCAUCCUCCUGUCUCUGUGUGUGUCCACCCUCUCUAGAAGCAGAAUUUAACUUUCUUUAUGUGGACCUAGGUCCACGUAAGGAAAGUAGAAACUAAAUGACCUAAGCUUAGAAGUCCCAGAACACAAAUUCUGGCACAUUCUAUUGAAAGCCAACCACAGGGGCAGCGCUGAUUCAAGAGCUGAAGCAUUAGACUCCAUGUCUUGAUGAGGGGGUGAUGAGCAGGUCACAAAGUGGUGUAAGUAGGUUAAGUGGUGAGAGGGUUUUCUCUCUGACUACUACAUCUGAGUGGUUUCCAGAUAGCCUUUUACUGUAAGGCAGAACUAUGAACUCCACAUUCUUCCAGUUAUUUCCUGAGAAGAAUAAAUAUCUGCUUGCUUGUGAUUACAAUUUCAGUUUUUUUAAGAAACCAGUUUGAAAUUUCAAUAUAAUCACCUCUUCUCAAGUAGCGUUGAUGGUUAAUUCAGGAGAACUCACUUCUUUAUUAUCUUUUCUGUCCUUUUGAAAUAAAAAAAUCACUUGUACUCAUUUUAUAUGAUAAGAUAGUGAUUGUGUUAUAGACUCUUGCACACAGCACACUAAUAACUAAAAGUACAAAAAAAGUCCCAUGUUUCUGUAUGGAACAAUGUUGAAUGAUAACUGGCAUCAGUACUUUUGGAAAUUUUUGGAGUAGGAAGAAUACUUGUCUGUCAGCUAAAUUGUGCAAGUCAAGUUUCUAAUUUGCUAUAAUAUUUUGCUUAUCAAUCUGAAGCCAUAUUUUUGUGAUAUGCCAUAGAUAUGCUUACAGAACUUUCAAUUGGCAUGUAGAAAAAAGUGAAAAUUCCUUGGUGUGACAUUUAUGGGCCUGACCCAUUUUCAGCAAUCGCUCAUCUUUCCCAGUCUUACGGGCUAUGCUCCAGCCAAUCAAACCACCUGUAAUUUUCUGAAAUUGCAUUCUGAGUCACACCUGUAAGACUUUGCUGUUUCAACUCUCCAUUGAAGCAUCAUUGUUUGGUCCCCUGAUAUCUUUUACUCCCAUCCCCCAAAGCUUGCCUGAGAACAAUUGUUUCUAGGCUUAGGUAUGGUAUUGAGUCAUAUGAAUCAACCUUAGAAUUGCCUCUUUUUUUUGUUGAAUUGAUUUUUUUUAUCUCUUGUAUGCAAAUUUCUAGACUUCUAUGUACGUUUUAUUUUUGAAGUAAAAUGUAUUACCACAUUUAAAUUUGCUUAUGUUUCUCAAUUUUACUAUUUGCAACAUAUCUUUUGUGACUCUUUUAUUCUUAGGACGGUGAUUGAUAUGAUUUUGAUAUUUUAAAAUAAUGUAUCUUGCAUUAAUACACCUAUAUUAAAACUCUUUCUGAUAUUUAAUCUUCUCAGCAAAUAAGUAUUCUCCUCAUGUCCCAAGGCAGAUAUCUAAGUAUUACCUCAGCAUGGAUUAUGCCAAUAUGAUUUACAAGAGAUCACUCAUGUAUGAUUCUGUUUUUUAAUUUGAAACUUGAAACAUGAUUAGAAGCUGAAUUUGUUCAGUCUAAAGAUGUGCUAGGACAGAUUUUAUCUUGGAUGCCACAAAGCAAUCAGGGACUGUUUAAGAACAAGCAGAAAAUCUUUUGUCUUUCAGAAGUCUGUUAAGACAUGGUGUUUGAUGGGCUUGCUUUCCAAGGCACACACUAGUUGAGUGCAAUUAAAUAAUAGAAUGUCAAAUCCACAAGCCAUAUUGUACAGAGUAUGUUUUGGAGAACUGUACCUUGAUGUGCCAUAUAAUUGUCAUAUGCAUUUCAGGCCUGUGCUCAUUAUCAAUUGGAACCAAUCAAAUAAAAACAUGUCAGUAUUCACUGAGAUGCUUACUUGCUCUUACGAGUUAUUUCUAAGGCCCACAGUGAUAGUAUAUUUUUAUGUCUGUCUCCUUCACCUCCUUGCACAGAUAUAGCUGCUCCCUUUCAAUACUCUCAAAUCGGCAUAUUCUUGUAACAGCUUUGCAAAUGAUUGCUUUAUUCAAGGUUAUAUUUAUCUUUCUUUUCCUUCAAUUUACAUUUUUAAAGUUAGAUCAGGAAAGUUAAUUUUGGCACUCAAAAAGAAUCAAUCAAUGUUUUUUUAAACUACACAUUUGUUGGAGUUUAGGUACAUGCAGUAAAAUAUUGUGUGUUUGGAGGUCAGAGAGACAUUAGAUCAUAUUUUAAGGACACUACUUUUUAGCCAAGUGAUUUAGGGAAGUGAAUUCUUUCUUUUUACAUCUACUAUCUCAUCUACAAAAUAUUAUUUAUCCCUAUAAAUCUCUGUUCCCCUAGAAAGUUAAGGUAAACAUUAUUUCCUUUUCUUUUAUGACACUUAGAUAUUUAAACGUGAUGAAUAUAUUCAUACUUAUUUUAGAGAGUAGUCAUUUAUUUUAGAAAAGCCAAUUAUUUUGCCAUCAUGUAUGUUGUCUUCUGAUUGGUACUCCUUAUUUCUUGUUCAGAUUUUCUCCUGCCUUCAGGUAAUAUGUGCUAACAUCUCCAUUAUCUCCCUAUGUGUCUUUGAAACUAAUCCUAAUUGUAGCUCCUGCUUAUUGAACAACUUGGAAUUAUUCUCUCAUCUACAUCUUCUUGAUUCGCCUAUGUUGCCUACAUUGAUUUCAGUGGUGGAAAAAAGUUCUAAACAGUCUUGCUAUAUUGCUCAGAGUAUGCUCAAAACUGGUCUCAUGUGAUCCUCCUGCCUCAGCCUCAACUACAGGUGUGUGCCCCCAUACCAGGCUAAUUGUGAUAUAUAAUUUAAUAUGUUAUUUAGUUGCAUGUAUCAAUCAUAUUUCUAUAAUAAUUUUAUUUUUAAGAAAUAUAUAUUUUAUCAAAUGUUUAUGAAAUUAGUAAGUUUAAAUUCAACUAUAUAUAUCAAAUUCUCAGUGGUACAGUCAAGAUGAUAUUUAUGAGAAUAUUAUUCCCUUGGGGUAUAUUCUUAUAAAUGUUACAAAUAUAUAAACUUCAAAACACUUAUUCAUUCCUUGCCAGUGCCAAACUAUCUCUUAUAUGAUUUUAAAUCACAUGAAUAUUAAAUAUUUCCAUAUGUAUUUAUAAAUCUUCUGGAGGGGUGGAGAUUACUAUGAAAGAGUGACUAUUCUUGAAACUGAAAUUACUAAAAAUAAUAUUGACUUAAUUCUAAAUCUCAUUGCUGAGGAAACAGUGUCACACUAUAUGACUGCUUUAUUAUGAGUAGAGAUUUGAAUGAUUUUUUUUCUGAGCUUCUGUUGAAAACUUAGAGGGUUUUUGGUUUGUUUUAUUAAACUGAAGUUGAACACAGGGCCUUCACAAUGACCUAUAUUCCACAGUUUUUUUCUUAUUUUUAGUUGGAGACAACGUCUCCUUAUAUACUAAGUGUCCCAAGCUGGGCAAACUUUGGAUUCUCCUGCCUCAGCUUUCCAGAGCACCAGAAUUACAGAUAUGCCCCAUUAUACACAGCUUAAUUACAAUUUUUAUUUCAGAGACCUCCAUCCAAAAAAGAGGAAGUUAUAACUUACGUCCCCUGGAUUUAAUGGAAGCCUGUUUCCUAAUUCUCCUGUCUAAUCACAGAAGUCUGUCCUCCCAUUUGUGUGGUUUACUUGUUUGUUUGUUGAAUAUUUUACUUUCAAGCUUAGCAAAUGGAUAUGUAUUUUCCAAAUUUUAAGACUUUUGUGGAACCCCAAUACCUGUUUUUUUAUAUAACUUUAAAGAUACUUGAAGUCGAUGAAAUUUUGUAUUCUUAGAUGUUUUAAGUACCAUAAAAGCAUUUCUAGUAUUGAAAUAAUAUGAAUUAAAAUUUGUAUAUUUCUUCCAGCUUUAUCCAACUUGGGCUUAAAAAUUAUAAGGUCAUUCUCCUGAAAUGUAUUUAAUCAUUGCUUCUGGCAUUUUCAAUGGGUUUAUCCCAACAUUAUUGACCUUUGGAAAUACAGCACACUCUACUUUUGCUUGUAAUGAAGUACACAUAUUGCCAUUUAUUGACAUAGGAGCACACUUCAAGUUUAUAAUAUGUUCAAGUAAUAUCCAUCUGAAUUUUGAGCUGUUCACACUAGGAGUGUGUGUGUGUGUGUGUGUUUGUGUAUGUGUGUGAGUGUGACAGAGAGAGAGACAGAAACAGAGACAAAGAAACAUAAGACAUACAGAGAGAAAGAUUCUAAAGGGAAAACAAGAAUAAACCUAGACUAACUUAGAUUAUUUUGAUAUUUUAAAACCUCUAAAUAAAAUUUCAAUGGACAAGAGCUGAUGAAUGUUUUCCAAAGUAAGUCUGUUAACCCUGAAAUCACCUAGAAUAUUCUAAAGAACCAGAAACAAAGUAAAUAUGAAUUGAUUUUGGCCAAAGUUUAAAUAAAACCACUUUGUGUUUUUGAAGAAGUUGAGUAAUAUAUUCUGAAAACAGAUUGUAGAACGGAUAGAGCACUUGAUUAGUACAGUAACAUGAUUUUGAAGACAUGAAAUAAGCAAAAGACUUGAUUUUUAAUGCAGGGUAUGCAGGUGUAUAUAAGAACCUUAGUAAAAGUUAUCUUUUUCAACAGUAACAGAUGUGUCCAGGUGUGCAGAGGUGUGUAUGAAUAUCAGUGAUUAAAAUAGAAUCUGAACUGAAAAGCAGUGCUGCCACUGAAAAUUUAUUCACGUAAAGAAUAUGUUCCACAGAGGAAGUAUUUUAAUGAUGCAUUUCAUGUACACAAUUAUUCACAUCUGCGUCCAUGUUUUUUUUUUUGACUUUCACAAAUUUUAGAUAUGUUACAAUCCUAUUUUUGCACUUAAUAAACAAUUUCUGAAGCUUGAAAAUGAAAAGGGAUGGGAUGUUUACAUAUCUCAAAUGGGGUGCUUUGACUUUUAUGAAAUUAUUAAAAUGUUAAACACAAAAGCAGUUAAAUCAUUUGGAUAAUUCUGUUCUAGUCUUCUGUUUAUCAGCACAAACCAUCGUUCCAUAGCUUUAUGACCAUUAAUGAAUGGCUCUUAUAUGUACGGAAAUGGUGCUCUCAUGCUCUUAACUCUCCCUGUCCUAUUCACUUCUGUUUUCCUGGAGUAUUCCUUCCUCUUCUACUUGGAAGUGUGUCUACUUGGGCCUAACUCUGUUGUUAAUCAUCUCACUCAGCACUCUUCUGUUCUUUCUUCUGUUCUCAGCUGUCAUGGGUCCUAUGAUAGGUGAUAAAAGGAAAAGCCCCAAUUUAUCAACCUAUGUGGACAGAAAAUCAUCCUUAGGUUCAUAAAAUUUCCCUUAGUCUAGCUGAAGUUUCAUCAUCUGUUCUCCAAAGUCCAUGGUUGUGCAGGUAAAAGCUAAAAUUCACUGUACCUUGCUUGACAUUUAAGCCUUUGAUGAUAGAAGCCCUGAGAAGCAGACUGUACCUUAACCAGUUCUUCAGCAAAAUAAACAAAAAGUAAAGCAAAACAAAAUUGACCUCUACUUAUUUAAAACCAACCAUGGUUUCUGUUUAUGUCUUCAAGAAGCACAUCCUCACUUAAUAAACAAUGUUUUAUUUGUUUGUUUGUUUUGGAGAUUGCACUUAGGGCCUUUGUGAUGAGCUGUAACCCUAGCCCCCAUUUGUUGUUUGAGGUAAGAUCUUGUUAAGUUGCAGAGGCUAGGCUUGAACUUGUGUUCCUCCUGCCUCAGCCUUCUAGACUCCUAGGAUUAUAGGGAUGCACCACCAUGCCCAACCACCCAACAAGUUCUACCCUAUCAUCAGGCCAGGUAUGGAGUAAAUGUUGAUGAGCAGGUGGUCUCUGGCCUUUUGGAAUCUACAUUAUGGUGGAAGCAUUUGAAGCUUGUCUUUAGACUACCUGCUCUUACUGUGAAUCUUCUCCAUUGCUUCCAUUUUGUCUUUUCACUCUUCUUCCCUUUUUCGUAAUAAAAUUAUGUCAUAUUAGUGAAUGGAGAUAGAUUUACACCCUAAUUAGUGGCUCAUAAACAGACUUUUUAAUAGCCUCCUAUUGGUGCUACUUCAAAAGUGACCAUUUUAUUGGUAUUAGUAAGUACUUUCAAAGUCAAGGGUAAGGAGAAAAUUAUGUUUAUCCCAUCAUGGGUAAACAGGGAUAGCAUUAAACUCCUCUGUAAUCUUUUAUCUCCUUUUCUGCCUUAAGUAUGGUAGAUUAGUAACAUGGGAAACAAGAGAAAAUGGGGAUUUUAGAAUAAGGAACAAAAAUGAAAUCAAAUUACAGUGAAGUGGGAAAGUAUAACUUUCUUCCUUCAGUGAACUUACUAUGUUCAUCCAAAGUUUGUCUUAUGCCAACUUCUGCAAAGAAGUGAAGGUUUCUGAAUAUAAGAGAGGUGAUAUUUAAUCAAGCAUCCAUUAGAACUCUCGUUAAUUCGUAUAACUGUCAGGCACGUUUUACAGGUCUAUGUCCAAAAAUAUAAGGAAAAUUUACUCCUGUUCUUGUUCUUGUGAUAAGAAUUUAUAUGAGCAUGUGGGGCUUGGUCAAAUUGUUGGUGGGAGGAAAUAAUACAGCAUCAUGGAAUUUCUAUUAAGCUUCACUGUUAUGCUCUAAAGAUUGAAAAGUGACCUAGGGAGAUAGGUGUACACCCUCAUGAAGCUUGGAGCAUCCCUAAUGAAAUAGAUAAAACUCAAGCUGAAAAGUACAUAAAACACUUCAAAAUUAGGAUAAAUAUAAUGACUUAAAUAUAUGAGGAGCUAGCAUAGAAAAUUGUACUUUGUAGGAGACUUGCUUAGCUCAGGUUACUAGGUAAGCUGUCUUUGAAGAAAUUGCACUUAAACUGUGACCUUAAAAGUAAAAGUGGGGUCGGGAGUGUUCUAGGCAGGGGUAAAAAGAAUGUGCAAAAGCCUUUUGAUGUGAAAAUUCCUGGCUAGGCUGUUUGAAAACUGAUAGAGGGCAGGUUGCAGGUAGAGGAGCAGUAAAAGCAAAAGUCAGACAAGCAGUUUUUCUAUUCCAAACAACCUAUGGGAGCUGUAAAUGUUAUAGAAAUUUUAUUCCUUAUUACUUGUCAGAGAAUAUAAUUUUGUUUUAACCAAAUUUUGCUUUCAUAAGCUCCUUUUAUAUUUAACUUCACUUAUGAAAGCUGGCCAUCUACUGCCGUCAUGUGGCACCCGGCAGUAUUACAUAUGUUAGGCACCGGUGAAAUCUAAAGCAUGAUUUUAGCAAAAUUCUUGUACACCCUUUUCAGUUAACCUCAGUCACCUCUAUCUGCUCUCAAACUCACAUAUGGGAAUUACUUCACAUUUCACUGUGCAAGGAACUGUGCAAGAGCCCCAGCUUCAAUGGCUUCAGGAGCCCGGCUGGUUCUGAUGAAGAGACUGAAGCCAGACCAGGUUGCGAGCAUCAGGAAGAAGGGAAGCCUAUAGCCAGUUCAGAGACACAAGCUAGAGAGAAAGACAUCCAAUUUUAUGGACUUAUUCUAUAAACCGGGAAUAUCAAAACAAUCUUAUGAGAUGUUUUUAUUUUUCAGUCUCUGUCCCCAAAUGUUUAACCCCAAUUACAUUAUUGAUUUCUCUCCCAAAACACAAAUGGUUUAUAUACUUCAUUUUUUACUAUUUUAUGAUUAUUUCAUACAAUAAAUUAUCUCAUUCUGUUUCUACAUGCAACAGCGAUGGUUUAUUUUGGAAGUUAUUUCAAUAGUUUUGUGGCUCAGUGUCAGGUUCUCUACUGAUGAUCUUUCUUUACUAAGGCUCAGGGAGCCAUUUUCAUUAUAAGAGGUUUUUUUCCCCACAAAUUAUUGUCUCCUUGCUUCAGGGAUAGUGAGAUGUUGAGCCUUGACUCCCGUUUUUCUCUGCACUAAAGUAGACCCAAAAUUGUUUUCUGAGGAGACUCAUCGCUAUUAGUUCCAGUGCUGCCUGUACACAUUUUUGACUAGAAAUUGAGUUAUUUUUUCAGGCCUCACUUUCGGUUUGUUCUAUCCAGGUGACAGUGCGUGUCCCACCCACAAUUUAGUUGACUUUUGGAGUAUGAAGCUCUAUAAAUAGAAACACAGAAUUACAGCUUGCCUGGUCCUUGUCAGGAACUAUUAUCUCAAAUUUACUAUGGUCCAUGCAGUGCAAAUGUUUGACUAAGAGAUAUCUAUGGAAGAAGAAGAAUAUUUAUUGGAGGAAAUGCAGUCAUCCAUUUUGCCAUAUAAAAUAAAAUCUGUUUCAGGAUUAAGGGAGACCAUCAAAACUGCCUGACUGGACUGCCUUAUACUGGGCCCAGCAAAAUUGCCCCCCAACAGAGCUGUGCUUUAGUCAUCAUGAUGAAAUAUUCUCUGUGAGGAAUCAUGGGGAAUAGUUUCUCUUCCUUCACAUUGGAGUUUAUUCCAAAUAACUGUUUUGUAUUAUAUGCAGUCUUGUUACUGGUUAUAUUGUGUUCCUUUUUACAUGUCCAUUAGAAAGCUCAAAGUCAAAUUCAUGUUCUAAGUUGACUAAAUGAAAAAUUCGUCAAAGCAUGAAUUUGUUAAUCAUGUUUAUGGCAUCAUCUUGCUUUUCUGUUUUAUUUUCCAAAGUUUCUCUUCAAAAGGUUUUAAUAUUUUAUCUCAUUAUGUUGUACACAUAUGUAAAUAACUUAAAUACAUCUAAGAUCAAAGUGAUAUAUAAACAAAACCAUAGGAUUUAUAUUGAUGUUAUGCUUUUUUAUAAAUCUUAAUUUCCAGCUGAACACUGUGAACAUAAACAAGAUUUGUGUGCGUGCAUGUGUGUGUGUGUGUGUAUGUGUGUGUGUGCAUGUGUGCGUGCACUCUUGGGCCAGCUGGCAAGUAGGACCUAGGGAUCAGGAGGGGCUACAGAGAAGAGGAGUCUCACUAGGAGUUUCUCUAGCCAAGGGAGUUCCAGUCACAGGUUUGAUGUUGUUUUUUAAAUUUUAAUUUUUAUUAGUACACGCUUGCAGUACAUAAUAAUUACUUUCAUUGUGGGAAGUUGCUACAUAUACAUAAUAUAUAAAGGAUUUUUAAAAUAUCUAAAGAGCUGAAGCAUCCUUUCAUAUAACAUGAAUUUUAGAAACCAUACUAAUUCUAUUUUGCAAUGCACAAAAUUAAACUUAUAAGCUAUCGAGGUAUUACAUUUUUCAUGAAAAUAUUGCUAAAAAAAGAAAUAGAGGAGAAUAAGAGCAAACUGAAGAGGAUCAAAUAUGUUUUUACAUUUGUGGCAAAGAGCUUUUCCAUCUGUGCAGAUUGGUGACUACUGUAUGAGGUGAAAACCAGUCUUGCUUAGUACUUGGGAUCUUUAUAUAUGGUCUUGAUAUUCAUCCCAUAUAAUCAUUCCACACUUGUGAAUGAGUAUCAGUUUCAAGGGUGAUUUUAGUACAAUUAACUUUACAUAAAUAUAAUUUAGUAAGAUAAUUAUGUUUGCAAUGACCCAGUAGUGUAGCCUCAAAUUCAGUCUUAAGACUAGAGACAGUAUGCCUGUAUAUAUGAUAUACAUGUAGAAAGUAUGUGUAUUCUUAGACCUCUGUUAACCUAAUAAUGUACUCUGCAGUUUACGAUACUAUUAAAGCAAAGCAUCCUGAAAUUUUUCAAUAUCAGUAAGGUAUCCUACAUGAGAUAUUUAAUAUUAUUGAAGCUAAAACUUCAUAGGAAUAUUUUUUCAUAAUUAUGACUAAAUUAUAGCUGUCAGCUAUUUAUCCAAGUAGCGCUAAACACAGAUUUAUCACUUAUCAGCUCUUUAAUAAUGAUACCUAAAGUUUAUUGAAUGUCCACUUUAUGCGAGCAUUGUAUAAGUAGCUUUUCAUACACUAUCUCAUGUACUUAUAAAACAUUUUAUGGAGUUCAUUGCCAAUAUUUCAUGAAUGAAAUAUGAGUAACAUAUUUGCAUUUCCAUAGAUGAGUAUUUUUAAUAUUGAGAAAAUGAUUGCAUUUAUUUGCCUGAAAUAAUAUGCAUACUUUCUGUAGACAAUAUUAGGAUUUUGUAAAGUUCUAUCUUCUGCUGAUUCUUGGGAAAUCCUAAUGGAAAACCUGGAAUUUUAGAUAAACAAUCAAAAUUGUUUUUCUAUGUGUGUGACUUGAAAAAUGUGAAUCUUUCAUGCAGCAACAAGAAGACACAUUCCCUGACUGCCACUUAUAUUUAUGUUGCAGUGUGUGCAACAAAUAGUAUUAAGAAAAAUGAGAUUGUGGACAUUUUGCAAAUAGUUACACUUAAAAUCAUAAGCAAUAAGGAAUUAGUCACUUAUUUGGACCAUAUAACAAUUUGAGUGUGAUAAAAAGCAAUAUUUAGACUGUGUUGAUGAGAUUAUCACUUGUCAUAACUGGUUUGAAAGACAAUUAAAAUUAUAAAUUUGAAGAUGUUCUUACCCUAUCAACUAGCAAGUUCACUUCUAGACAGGUAUCAAGGAGGAUCAGACACAUAUGAGUAAGAACACAUAUCUCAGGGUGUUUGCAGCAUCUUAUCUAUGGUUUUAGCACACUGAAAUCUGAGAGGAGAAAUGCAAACAGGUUAUGCAUGUAUAAAAUGGAAUACUACACAAGUUUGAAUGAAGGAAAAGAAUUAUAAAUCUCAGCAAUAUGAAUCUCAGAAACAUAAUGUUGAAUGAAAAUAGCACAUCUCAAACAGAUACAUGCUUGCUGAGUACAUGUUAAUAAAGUUCAAAAGCUUAUAACUUUAAAAUCUUCUUAGAUAGGGAUGGAUAUUAUGGUGAAGCUAUUAUAAGAACAGGAACAAGAAACAUUUCUAUGAUUUCUAUGGAAAGAAACACAUGAGCAUGGAAGGGUCAUCAGGGAGCUUUGUGAGUUCUGGUAAUUUCUUAUCUUGAACUGGAUGUUGUGUGGGUCAUUUUCCUGUUAACUUUAGUGCUUCACAUUGAUCCUAAGCUCUUUUGUAUAUAUACAGUUCUUAAAAAAAGAAGGUGGAGUUAUGUAGAUUUUAAGUAUUUACCCGAAGUCUUCUGUACCACAUUCUAGAGAACCAUCUGCUCUUGAGUUAUUCUUUCUGCAUAAUUUUCUAUGAGUAUUUUUCAUAAUGAAGUUAUUGACCAGUAUAUUUUAAAUCUUGUAACUUUUUCAUCAAACUUUUUCAUCAAACUAUGUAAGUCUCCCUGCACCCUGGCUAGCAUCUGCAAAAUUUAAACUCUUGGCAAUUUAUAGUCUUCUGGAAGCCAGACCAUUUGGCAGUGUUCUGUCCUUUUGAUUCCUGCCUCAGUCUUUUAAAAAUGAUAAAAAGUUGAGUCUUUCUUCGCUCUGUAAGAUGACAGAAACCUAGCAGAUAGCUGAUUAAGUGGCCCUGCAGUGAUUUCCUGACAGCAGUUGGUAGCUUAUGCUUGCCUUUCUCCAGGUAGGAGGUAUAGUCAAGGCUAUAAAUAUCUAAACACCCACAGACAGGUUCUUAUUGCUACUGAAACUCUUGGUGGUGUUUAUUUCUCCAUCAGGUCCUGCAAAGGCUGAGUCCACGCUGUGUUCUCCCUCUUCUCUACCAAUACCUGGUGGCUGGAAUUAUUUUCAGGUCUUUCUUACCUUCACAUUUUAUCUUUGUCUCUCACAGCUGAUUCCCUCUAAUGGGCUUAAUAAUUGAAAGAGAAUUCACAAAAUCUCUCUUUAAUGAGUAUAUUUUUGCCUUUUUUUCUUUCAGAAAUCACUAGCAUUCUUAUUUUCACUCAACAGUGAAGGUAGAAGAACAAAGUCAACAUUCUUAAAAAAAGCUCUUCCAUUUAGCUUGCAAUAAUUUAAGUGUGCAAGGUUGGGAAUAUAUUGAUAUUCUGUGAUCAAUUAAUCUGAUGUCGUGUGUUGAGUUUUCUUCUGAUAUUUAUUUUAUUGUGCCAAUAAGUUCACUUAAUCUUGUAUAUUUUGGUACAUUACCUCUUUUAAUAUUUUUAAAAAUCCAAACAUGAGAAUAAAAGUAGAUAAAAUUCUACUUUCUAGAGACUAUUUUUAUAUAUUUAUUAAACUGUAGACUCUAUCAUAGAAAUGUUUGCAACACACACACACACACAAAACAAUGUAUCUUGCCAGUGAAAUGCUGAAAUAAGCUUUUUGUAAUAGGUAUAAAUUAUAUUUUGAGUUCUCUAGAAUAUUAUAAAUUGAUAUUACAGACUGAAUUUAUGCAACAAUGUUAAUUCAAAUUAGGUAAAUCUUUCAAAGUAACAAAUAUUUGAUAAAAGAUCUGGCUUAGUCACAUUGCAUAUACAGUAUUAUCCAUUUAUAUUAUUACACAUCCUGCACUUUAAAUUUUUAACAAAACCAUGAUGUAGUUUUAGAGUGGAAAUAUUAUUUUAAGAUACAUUAUAUAUUUCUAAAGACUAUACUGCUGUAAAUUUUAAUGAUAAAGAUCUGCUUAAGUUAGGGAUUUGAAGAAUAUUCUCAUUUUAUUUUAUAUUUUUCAUUUUUUUGAUAUUCCCAUUUAAAGGAGACAUUUUAGUAGAAUAAUUUAAAUUGCAGUGAUUAAAAUAGUACCAAAGUAAAAUGUUUCAAGAAUUUAUUUCAAAAUUUCUAUGAUGAAUCUCAGUUCUGAAAUAUGAUUUUUUGCAUGGAUGUGGUUUAAUACCCCCUCACUGUUAUACACACACACACACACACACACACAUACACACACACACACAUAAUUCCUAAAUUUAAAAAGUUUUAAACCUAUUUUUAAAACCUGUCCAGAAACAACUAUCUCAUCUAAUAUUCUAAGAACUAUAGUAGUAAGAAAAAUUAACUUGAUUCUCAAAUGGGUAGAAAGGAGAAAAACGUCUUCAAGGAAUAGCUAGUAAUUGUAUUUCAAAUUAAGGAGGUAUUUGAGUGAUUCUGGGCUGAGAUGUGCACACAUUAAUGGAAAUUAUUAUAUAUUCACAUUCAUUGGUUAAAAAUAAUAUAUUUAAUCUCUACUGAAGAAAGGUUAGGUUAAUCCAUUUAGCAUAGUUCUAAGCCCCAGUUGCUUUAUAAUGCUCUUCUAGAUUUUUGAGUUAAACUAUCAGGAUGAUGCAUAUUUUUCAUUUAACAUUAUCAAAAUUUAGGGUACCUUCUCAUUUUCUGACUAAAAUAAAAUUUCUCAUUGAUGUUUCAAUUAUUAUGGCAAAUAAUUUGACUGCUUUAGAAAAGAAAUUAUAGAAACACGAAACUUCCUUUUAAUAGGUGAUUUUGCUAGAAUUUUAUAGUUUUAAAAUUGAAAUUUCCUCGUGCAUAAUCUGACAUGAUAAACUUAACUAUUUCUUUCCAAGUAAUAUUUUAAAAAGUUCUUUUCUAAUUUGGGAAAAUUGAACACAAACUCAAAACCUUCAAAGUUUCUAAUGAUUUUAUUUCAUAUAAAAAUGACUGGAAAUUCUAAAUGGUGAAGGUGUUCAAAUCUAGAUUGAGAAUUAAGAUACACAAUGUUUGCUGCAAAAUCUGGUUUUUCUUAAUUAAAAAUUAUGGACUAUUCACUUUUCCAUAACUAGGAAAAAAUAUCCAACACCAGCAGCUUAAAAGAGUUGUUUUGUUUCAUGUUUUCAAAAGGUUCAGUUCAUGGUUAGCUGGCUCUAAGACAGACAUGGCAUGGUAGAAGGAGAGAGCUACUCACAUCAUGGCAGCCAAGAAACAGAGAAGGAAGAAAGGGACCAAGGACAAAUAUAUACCGUUCUGAGUUAUGCCCCAUUGACCCACCUUCUUCAAUCAAGCCCUACCUCCUAACAGCACAUUCAGUUAUAAAAUCAUUAUCAGUUAAUCUACUGAUGAGUAUUGAGACCUUCGAUCUAAUUACCUUCUAAAAGCCACAUCUCUGAACACCUGAUACUUUUGGGGAACUUUUUGUAGGUAAACUAUAACAUUGUAGCUUUGAGAUAAUUAUAGAUCCACUUUCAGUUAUAAAGAACAAUACAGAAAUCCAUCUGUUUCCCCCAUGGUAACAUUAUGCAAAAUUAUAGUAGAAUAUCAUAACUUUGACAUAAUCCACCAAAUUAAUUGAGAUUCAAGUUUUCAUUCCACAAUGAAAUCCAUGGUCCAUUCAGUUUUUAGAAUAAAACAUUUGAGAAAUAAAUAUACUGAUGGGGUUCUAUAGUAAAUAUUUCCAUCUAAUCCAAAGUUGCUAAAUUUAUACAUCUCGAAGGAGUGUCUAUUCAUUACUCAAGUUAAAUUUAAAUAAAAAAUUUAAAGGUAAAUGCAAGAUAUUUCUCAGUUAUGGAAAGGGUUAAAAUUGCAGACUAGAUUUUCUUUUCCUUGUUUUUAGGAAACAAUAUUCAAUCCUUUAAAAUACUAAACAAUAUUCAAUAUUUUAAAAUUGCACCUUCCUUAGUACCAUAGAAGUCACAACUGUGGAGAGAUUAAUAAUAUACAUGUAUAUUUUAUUAUUAAAUUCAACAUGAAAAUAGUGCUUUAUACUUACCUAUUUCAUAUAAAUAGAUUUCAUAAGGAAUAUUACAAUGUUCUAUAAAAGAACAUUUUUUCUUGUAUAAGUUGCAAUAGGGAAAAUUAAAAUAAAAUGUACUGCAUUUGACAUUGGGCUUACUGUACAUUUGGAAAGACGGGAUCAUUAAUCUCUCCCACUCAUCAUUUGUGUUUUAGAGACUAACUUUAUAUUAUAGUCAUAGGAGUCAGUUUUAAGUCCUGAUAUUGUGUCUUUUUAUGCACCCUUGUUGAUGUAGAUUGAAUUAAUGAGUAGAUACAGUUACAACUUUUAAAAUGAGUUUCAGAGCUUCUAUGGCUUAAUGAACACGUACCUAUUAUUCCAAAACGUAUUGCUCAUAUCUUAAAUAUAAUGUCAAUAACUUUCAUUUGACAUACCCAGAAUUAUUGUGUAAAAAUUAUUUAAAACUAAUAUGACUAAAUUUUCAUGUUUAUGGAAAUAUGUUAUAAGCUGUGCUACUUAGUAAUUGAAUCUUCUUUUUUACUUGAAUAUUUUAAAUUAUAUUUAAUUAAAAUAGGAUAAGCAUCCUAAAUACAUUCAAAUAAUGUGAGGUAAAAUGUAUUAACAUACAUGUCUGUUAAAUGGAUGGAAAAUAUUUUAUCUGCAUAUAGUUCUGUAGCCCAGAUGGGAAAAAUAUGGAAACAAUCCUGGAUGAUUCUUAACCUUUUAUCAAUAUAGAAUUUCCCAGUGGGAGCUGACACUCAAUUCAGAUAUGUUCUAUAGAAUAGGUACUAUCUGAACUUGUCUCUGAAUAGUAAACAGGAAUGACCAGGAAAUCUGAUUGCUUUUGCAAUGCCAUAUGCUAGGAUAGAUGAAUUCAUUUACUCACUUGAUAUAUCAUUGUUACCAUAAUGAUAUUCUCAAAAAUAUAUCUUUAUUGCUGAGGCAGAGGAGCAGACAAUAGUAGGGAUGGCAUGUAGGAGCUAAUUUAUAAAUAGUUGGUAUUUGAAAGCAUUAAUUUUCCCCCAAACAGAUAGAGCUCUUUUCUAAAAGAAAUUUUAAGGUCAUAGUCAUUAUAAUAGAUAUUAUGUAAAAGACAUAUUAGAGCAAAUAGUUUAUUAUCAUUAAGAAUUUAAUAUUUCCAAAUAUGAUGCACAUGACACUUUCUUAUCUAAUUUUAUUCUUGGAUACUUGAUUUUUUAUAAUUCAAAAAAUUCCUGUCUGCAGACCAUUGAAAGAAUUGGAGUGAAUAGAAUGAUGCAUUUGCCUGCAUAUUAGAUGCAAAAAAUAAUUUUUAAAAACAGAAUUUCUUCCAGGAAAAGCAUACUUACAAGAUUUCCCAAAGCUAUAAAAGUUUAGCCUGAGGCAUUCUUCCUACUUGCUUUGCUCUCCUGCCCACCACACUUUUAGUAUUUGAAAAAUCUACUUAUCAAAUUGUCUAAUCACUUCUCUUGAAUGAACUCCUGAAAGUACUAGUCAUAAAGUGAAUUGAGACAGAAAUCUAGAAAGUCAUCUCGAGUUAGUUACAUCUCUGUAGUUCAUUGUGAUCACUAAGACUUAUAUUUUUAUAUCUGAAUGGACAUAUUUCUAGUUAUUUUCUCUGUGAGUUUAAUAUGCUCUUAGUUUUGGUUUAAGUCCAUCCAGGCUUAUAAACGUAGAUGCAUAAUAGUUGUUUUGAAACUAAUUUCAAACAUCAAGGAUUGAAAUGCAUUUGUUUUUGCACAUUGUAUCUGCAGAAGGUAGAGAUAAGAACUUACAAUGUAUUAAUAGUCAUCUUGGUAUGCUUCCCUGUGCCUGAGCUUGGUACUUCACACAUUCUAUGUUAAUACGUAAGCUCCUGAGUCAACAUUUAGGAAGGUGAAGAAACUGGCCUUAUCUUCAAAUUAUCAACUUGAAAAGGGAGAGUUAUUUUAUUAUUAUCAUCACCAUUUAAAAAUUUUUGAUUGUGUUUCACUAAUUUUGAUUAGUGAGUUUCAGUUUUGAUGACUCAUUUAACUCUUUCAGGGUUAAAAAUAUAUUUAGACAUUGUGAAGCAAAACAUAGUUACAAAAAAAUCACCAACCCAUAUACAAUAGCUUUACUAAUCCAGAAAAAUCUGGAUUCUAUAAAGUAUGGAGUAUUUUCUUCAAAAAUUGAUGAUUUGCAAAUUAUUUUAUCAUUGUUAACUGACACAAUUGUAUAUAUUUCUGGGUUAUAGUGCAAUAAUUUGAUACUUGUAUAAAAUUUCCACCUCCUUAAACAGUUAUCAUUUCUUCAUGUUAGAUACUUUCAAAUCUCUCCUUUCUAGUUCUUUCUAAAAUACAUAAUAAAUUGCUGUAAACCAUAGUCACCCUACUGUGCUAUUGAAUAUUUGAAAUUAUAUGUCUUAUUUAAUGAUAUUUUAGUGAUACUUAUAGGGGAGAAUCAUGUUUACUGUUUUUAAUUUUAACUGUAUGAUCUAAGAGUCUCUAAAAUAAAAUUGAAGAACCUCAUGCAUUUUAAAAAUAUUUAAGGUUUAUCUCUUUCUAGAGAUGGUAAGAUAGGAAAAAAUUUUUUAAUGCGUCUCUGGUCCUGAGGUAAUUGCCAUUAAGAUAUCAGUUCACCUUAAGUCUGUUUUUCGUGGGAUUCUGAAGGACAGUUAUAAUUGUAGAGUUGUAGAUGCCUCUGAUAAGUAUUUAGAGAUCCUGAACAUAUAACUACACUAUGAAUUAGGAAGUGGUGUCAGGUAGCAUUUUACAAUUUGAAAAUUGAUAUACUAAGGACUAGUUGGUGGUGGAUCAAAUUAUAUCAGGUACAAUAAAUAACAGUACUUGGAUCUAAUAGGUUAGGAGUGCAUAGUUUUACUACCACAACACAGAAAACUAAAAUUCUUUGUUUAUAAUUAUUUUAUGUGGAUAUAUCAGUGUGUGUAUUUAAAUUCCUCUUUACCUGUAUAAUUUGCCUAUCUAUAUCUAGAUUUACCUAGUUUUCAAAGGACAGGUUAGAAUCCUGGCAAGAUCUUAAACUAUUCAGUUAUGAGAAUCUGGAUUCCUUUUCGCUAUAUUUAAAAUUUUUAUUUUUCAUCAUCUCUCAGCUUCUAUAAUCUUUUCUUUAUAUACUUCCAUCUGAUACUAAAUUUGCACAGGUUUACUGACUUGUGUAUCACCCAUGGUGUCUGGUGAUUAGGACACAGCAGGAGUUCCUUAAAUCCACUGGGAUUCCCCAUCCUUAGGUUUAUAUUGGAUAUUUGUUGCUUCAAUAAUCCAGCCGCAGGAGUUUAGAAUCCUCAGGAAGAACAAAGACUUCUUAUCUAUAAAAUGGUAGCAUUCAGAAGAUUUGGAAGUUAGAAGUACUUUAACGACAAAGGCAUUGUGUGAAAAUGCUCAAAUGUUCCUUAUAUUGACUAUAAUAAUAUGUAGUUUGAUAUAUAAGUCAAUGCUAGGGUCAUGGGGCAGAAGGUUCUGCUAUACUCUUCUGCAUUUGGAAUGAUCCUCAACCUAGUAUGCUUUCAGGGUGACAUUUAGAUGGAACUUUUAAAAAGUAUAUCACCUUCUCAGGAAAGUACUACAGAGUAAAGCAGAUUUAUAGAGCUGGAAGCCUAUUAUGCAGAGCUGUAGAUCACUGCUGCCAACCAAUGAGACUUGCCUUUUUUUUCUUCAAAUAUUCACCAAAAUUUCCUUUGUCUUGUCUCUUUUUUUGUGGCGAUAACAAUUCAGUUAGAUAUUUUUCUUUGGUCUAAACAGUUAAAUUGUUCUUUAGCCUAAAUCUUAUUUCUUGAUUUUUGUUCCGAGUCUCAUGCCAUAAACAAAUGUUUUUGUUUAGCUGUAUUUGUCAGGAGUGAUAGAUCUAACAGCAAAGCAUAAAUGUAGGCGGGUAGUUAAAAAUCCAAUACCAUAAAUCACUACAUUUACCAUGUGUUUGUGAAGGGAUAUGAAGAAAAACAGAACAUAGGUACAGUAGAAAAAUAUCACACAGUUUCUCUUACGUGAGAAACUCAAAGUAUAAAUAAAUUAAAGAGCAAAAUAAAAGAUAAAUAAGAAGAGGCAGGUAGACAGAACUUCUGUAAAAGGAAAGCGGACCAGUAGAUGGAGAGAGGAAGAAGAGGAAAAGAGGAUAAAAAAGAAUUAAAAUGUGUUAUGUACAUUUUUAACUUCCAAUUAUGAAUGUAAUCUAUAUGUACUGCAAAUAUGUACCAAUAAAAAUUUCAAAAAUAAUGUAAUCCAAUAACAUGAUUUUAGGAGGGCAGUAUUAUCAGGUGCAGAAUUUUAAUCAUUAUGCAGAACAUUAAGAAAAAGAAGUUUGUAGUUAUGUACACUCCAUUGUAUUUAAAGCUUCUAAUAAUUUAUACUAUAAAUGCAAUAGUGGCUCUUCAUAAAGAACCUCACUUAGUAUUAUAAAAUUUACUGCAUCCUAACUGAUGAUAUGGGUAGAGUGACAAUUCUUGCUUAUUGGAGAGCAUUUCUUACAAAUAUUACAAAUUGAAAGAUUACAAAUAUUUUACUGUUGUGUAUGAUUAAAACCUUACCAUAUUAAAGUAUUUUGGAAUGUUUUCUAAUAGAAGAAAGUAGAAAACCAGUUUUUUUCUUUUAGGCCACAUGAUGUAGAUACUUGAAAAUUAUCACAUACCACAACUAUAAACUAUUUCCUUGUUCUUAUAAUCAGAAAACUACUUGCAAUAUGAAUAUUAGUAACCAUACUCAUGCUGAAUAUUCAUUCAUUUACAAAUGAAAAAGCUUUUUUAUGGACUUGGGUAUAUUUUUUAUGUCAGCAGCAUAAAUUCUUAAAUACAUACUGAGUUUAUUUCUGUGUAAUAAAAGAAUAAAUCAUAUCUAUAGCCAUAGACAACAAAAAUACUAUUAUCAAAAAUUCUGUUACAUCUCUCUAAAGUUUAUGCUAUUAAAUUGGAGUUGUUUUAUUUAGUAAUGGGCAUUCUGGCAUUCUUUUGUCUUUUGGGAAAAUAGGCUUCCUCAGAAAGUAGUUAUUUUGAAGGCUGGCAGCUAUUUCUGGCUUUCAACUGCCACAGAAAAUUUCCAUCCCAACAGUGGGAGGUGUAAAUAUAAUCUGACUGCUACUGGCUAAUUUGUGUCCCUUUUAUAACUGUGAAUAACAAUUCUAAGGUUUUUGCUUAAGAUGCCACACGUAUAUUAUUUCAAUUUUUUUCAAAUCAGGAAUAGGCACCUCUCUUUUACUGCUGUGGUAUGAAAGGUAAUUAAUAAGUCUUGUCUGUGACUUUUAGCUUAGCAAACUGAUUUAUUUAUGGGGAGAGAAAUAAGAGACAAGAAGAUAUUUCAAACUUUGCUAUCUCAUUGGCAAUUCCAUACACCAUUGUGGAGUUUGAUUUAAUGCACUUCCAUCUUGUACACCAAUCAAUGUUUCAAUACUAGAAGUUCCAGAAAUACAUUUUUACUAUAGUUUCACCCUGAGGAUGAGAUUAUUACAAAAGUCUACUAUAUUUGAGAUUUUUACUUUCCCUAAUACAGUUUGCAGGUACCCAGAAGAGGCCAUGGCAAUUCAUGUUAUUGUUUAUAAAGAUUGUGAAAAACCAGUGUCAGAGUGAAUUCACAUGUGCAUGUUUUCGACGAGCUAAUGUAAUGUCAAGCAUGUAAAAUUUGGCCAUUAUUUGGUUGUUUUUGCUACUGCUUUUGGAAGCUGGAAUAAUUUUACUAAAUACCAGUAGGUGAAGUUUGUUUCCUUUUCACAGCUUCUUGCAUCUCAUCAUCAGAAACUAUACUAAUAAUUACAGGACUACAUUAUAUUUCCACUCAACUGCUUGCAUUCUCUAUUUCUUUAGCCUGUUGUUCAGACCUGAAAUUUUUGUAAAAUACAGUAUUUACUUUUAAAUGAAUCUCUCUGUAGUCAUUGUUACCUUUGUGGCUAAAAGUUGACACAGACAUAAAGUGGAUUAUUGCUUUCCCAUAUUUUCCAUGUUCAAAUCACAGUUAUUUGAUUCAUAUAAUCAUUUAAGAGUAGAGGUACAUGCUUGUAAGAUUUCUGAAAAUGUAUGUUUUAUCUAGAUGAACCCAUUUGCCCAGUGAUUUUUGAUACACAAUUUGAGUCAACAGAAAUAUUUCCCUUGAGGAAAAUAAAGUUACAUUUAAGAAUGUUAUUAGUUCUCUAUUGGCACUAAAACAAAUUGCCGCUGGUUGAUUGUUGAUUAAAAAACAAAUGAAUUUAUUAUUUUUAUAGAUUUUGGGUUAGAUGUCUAACAUAGUUCUCACUGGACUAAAGUCAAGGUAUCAGCAGGGCUGCAUUCCUUUUUGGGGGCUCUUGAGGACAUUCUAUUUCUUUUCCAUUUUUAGGUAGUAGAGGCCAAGUAUAUUUCUUGCCCUGUCAUUCCCUGUCAUAGUCAAAGGUAGAAAUUUUGCAUAUCUCCAUAACUUCCAUGGUCAUAUCUCUUUCUGGCUCUGAUUCUUCACCUUUUCCCAUUUUUAAGGACUACCGUGAUUCAACUCGCUACACUAGAUUUAUUCAGGAUAAAUACCUAUUUUAAUUAGCAACUAUAUUUUCCAUUUACCAUGUACUCUAAUGUACCCAUAGGUUUUACAGAUUAGAAUAUGAAAAUCUUUGUAGGCCAUGUCCUAAUUCUGCAUACUAUAAAAAUGGACCCAACUUUUAAAAUAAUUGUUGAAAUGUGUAACUAUUCUUUGAAUGCAUUUGUAUAUGAAUACAUUAAUGAAUUAAUAUAGCAACUCUGAAGCAAUUUAUUAAAUGAAAUUUAACUUAAAGUAUUUAAAUUGAAAGAAAUUUCCAUCUGAAAUGGUAGCAGUAUUGAAUAACACUAAUGUUAUCCCCCCAAAACAGUAGUUAUAAUAAGAGUAAGUUUUAUGACAUAGGCAAAAUGUAGUACCAAGUUUUGUCAAUCAUAGUGUGUAAUUACAAAUCCAAGAUUCCCCCUCUUUCCAUUGGACAGGUGGUGCUGAUAUGGGGAAUUCAAAGGUGGCUGUUUCACACCACUCAAUCUUAAGGGACAUGCUUCUUUCAAACUGUGAUGAGCAGCAUAUGAUUACAAGUUGGUUUGGGGGCUCAAAGUUAGAGCCAAAGAUCUGUGAACAUAGUAUGGACCUUCAAUGAUUUGUAGGUCAUGUUUUUUGUUCUACACAUGAGAAAAAUAGGUAAUGAAUAAAAGAGUCACUAAAAGCCAUAUUGAUAUUUUUUUAGUAUGACUAGGUUUUAAAGUUCACCUCUCAGGUCUUGUGAGAAACUCCCUGUCUUUUCCAUCAAAGGAUGUAAAGAAGAGUGCCUCCAUCUUAGAUUCUAGUCCAGCCUAGGUGGCCCCUCCUGAACAUACUGAAAUUAUGGGAAAUGUUUGCUCAGUUCAAAUUCUGGAAACAUAGGUACAGAAUAAGAUAACUAUCAAUAGCCAAGGACCUUCUGUUCCCCACACCCUCCCUCCUCCUGCUCUUCUUUCCCUUAACAAUCUUCCCCAGGCACUCCUUGGGCCCACCCUUCAUGCCACUUUAACUAGUCAAUCAGCAUAGACUGUGAACCUUCAACCCAGCCAAUGGGGAAAAGGUCAGCUGCUUCCCAUGUGUUAGAGCUUGAAACCCCUACUUCCCUGCUGCUGGGUGGUAGUGCUACCUCAUGUUUCACCCUUCUGGAGAAGCAAAAUGACUUGUGCAGAAUUCCUAAUGUCUGAGUAGUUUGUUAUCUGCACUGACAUAUUGAGUCUGGGGACAUAUUUCCAACAGCCUUAAACCUCCUUUCCAAUCAGGUCAUACACAUAUUUGGCCUCAAAAACACAUUUAUUAAUGUAUCCUUGUUGACUUUCUUCUUUGUCUAACUGAUUUUGAUUAUCUCCUUGGGAACUUACAGCAUUGGGAAUUCUCAGUUACCCUAGCUGCCUUCAUUUCUAGACACAAAGUAAUGUAAGUUUAGAUGGGGAGAAAGAAGGAAAAAUAUUAGGGAAAGUGCAAAAUUGUUAUCACACCAUACAUAUUUAGGUGAGGAGACAUUAAUGCACUCUAAUAGUAAUGUGUAUCUAUUUCUUUCCUUAUCCAUCAGAAUUCAGGUGAUUUCCUAUCCAUAAGUCAGAAAGCAGUUGCUGUCAUUUUUUGAGUAAGCUUAUUGCAUUCAGUCAUUCUGGAUGCAUCCUUGUAUUUUGUCAUAUGUCAUUUAUAUAUUUAUACAAAGGAGGAUAAAAUUCUUCACUAAUGUAUAUGAAGUAACACCAUAUUCCUUAAAUAAGAAAUGAUUUACCUAAUUUGGCAACUAACAAAGUUUUUAACUUUCAGUUUUAUGCAUGUAAAAUUAAACAAAAACAUAGGACCAUUCAGGUUCCCUAGACAAAAAGUCUAAAGUAGCUAUCAUUCACUCAGCUUUUCCCAUAAGCAUUGCCAAGAAUGUUUUAUAGGUUAAAUUUUGUUCUCACCAGUUAAGAAUGGCUCCCUGUUAUCCAGAUAAGGAGACUGAGGUCUACCAUGGCAUAAAUCACCCAGUAAACUUAUAAGGAAGUAACAAUUUUGCACAUGCAGUUUUGCUCCCUUUGUCUGUCUCCUGUAUUAUUUCAGUUCUGUGAGUAAAAGAAAUUCCUGCUUCUGAAUUAAGAGGGUACCAAUAGACCAAAUAAUGACUGGGACAAGUCCAGCUUGGUAAAUGAUUUUAUUAAGGUUUAAUUAGAGAGCAUUGAACUUCUUACAGGCAGCUCUGCUACCAGCCUAUUUUCUACUUACAUAGCUUCCAUUUAUGUAGUUCUCCAAAUUACACAACAAAAAACAAAGGCAAGAAACAGAAUUCAUGCAAAGAAUUAUGUGUUUAUGUUUACUCUGUUUCCAUCUUUAUUGGAAAUUCCACUGUUCUCAGCAAAUACACUUAAGCACCAUUGAGGCAUGGCUCUGUUUCACUGUAAUCUGGCACACAGUCUCAGCACCUGUUAAGAAUCUCUAAAUGUUAGUGAAUUAAGUACACCAAGUACACUUUGGUAAUCAGGAAACAAAAUGGUGCUACCUUGGAAAGGACUUAGAGGACUAUUUUCCCUACAAUAUCCCACCCUUGAGCAGGGUGAGGCAGGGUAUGUACAAAUAAGGCCAGGCUGACAUAUAGGCAAGCAUGAUGGAGCAGUCAUUUUGUGAUUACUUGUUAUAUAAGCAUCAUUUGCAAUAGAGGAGGAAUUUUCCUGUUGCCUCUAGAGAAGUAAGGUCCUAUAAUUUGAGAAGGCCAUAUGGUUGGAAGCUCAUUGUACCUCCCAGAGUUCAAAGCAACCUCUGGAGAGAGUCAACAAUGAAACGAGGACAGCUGUCCUCCAACUUCAAGGAGGUGAAUUUCACAAGUAACGUAAAUGAGCCUGAAAAGGGGCACUGAGAACAACAAGAUUGAAAAACAUCUGGAUUUCAGCAUUGUGAGACCCCAGCAGUGGAUCCAGUUGACAUACACUCAAAUUGCUGACCCACAGAAACUGUGAGCUAAUACAUUUACAAGGUAUUCAGCAUGUUAUUUUGGGGUAGACUGUUAGGCAACACAAGAAAAUAGUACACAUGAUGAUGAAAGUCACACAGCUUAUGAGUGGUCAAGUAGAAAUGUACCCAGGAUAUCAUUUUCGCCAUUAUGAAAUGUUAAGCAGUAAAGAAAUCCAGGAAAACUGUCACCGACCUGUCAUACUUCAGCCCAGGUUAUUGGGUGGUACCAUUAUUAUUAGAGAAUUAUAAUUUUAUCCUCCAAUGACCAAGUUUAAAGGAAAAUUAUUGAUAAUUUGAAAUUUAACUGAGUACUAACAUAUGCUUAGUUCUCUAGCAAUCAUUUUCUAAAAAUAACAAGAAAAGUUUUCUAUUACUUUGAUUGUAUUAGGAAAUAUACGUACAUCUGAAUUAUAUCCUUUCAUAUUAGAGUUUCAUUUUGUAAAAAAUAUAAUUUUCUGGUUGAAGGAAUACAUACAAUUUAAAGAUACAAUAGAUCUUAUAUGCUUUAAAUAAAAUAUUUGUCUACUAAUACCUAAAUUUUCCAAAUAUUAAGUAUGCCAAAAGUUAUAAGUUCAAGAUGUGAUGUUUUUGUUAUUGUUUUUGGUGACAGUCCAUGUUUCCUAUGUUUUUUUGUCCCCAGAGUACAGCAAAAUUAUAACCAUUAAUAAUUUUAAAUUUCAGAAUGUUAUUGUAUUGAGUUCUGAUAUUAAGAAUAGAGAGACAAAUUGAAAUAUAUCAGGAAAGAAAUGAAGCAAAAGUGGUUAUUGAAUAAGGGAAAUUAUUGUGAAAUACCCCCAAAAUAAAAAAGAGGCACAAUAAUAGCUUCAUUUUUAUGCCUUAUCUAUCUUUCCAUUAUCAAAAAUACCUAGACAUACUUUUAAAAAUAUCACUGUUUGCUCAUCCUAGAAAUAUGAAAUAUAUUUUAUUUACUUAUAAAAUAAAUAUAUAAUAUAUAAUAUAUAAUUCAAUUAUAAAAUAAAGUUAUGCAAAUAACAUAUAGUAUAUAGUAAAAUACAUAUAUUUAUAUAAAUAUAUAAUUUA